rnacentral:rRNA from 1 species
UACGAAGGUCCCAAGCGUUGUUCGGAAUCACUGGGCGUAAAGGGUGCGUAGGCGGCGAUGUAAGUCAGAUGUGAAAUUUCUGGGCUCAACCUGGAAACGGCAUCCGAUACUGCGUUGCUAGAGUAACGGAGAGGAGUCUGGAAUUCACGGUGUAGCAGUGAAAUGCGUGGAUAUCGUGAGGAACGCUAGUGGCGAAGGCGAGACUCUGGACGUUUACAGACGCUGAGGCACGAAGGCCAGGGGAGCAAAAGGG